UCUAAUUUGGCAGAGAAGUGCAAUGGAUUUAAGCUCCAUCAAUAAAGAUAAAACUUUUUUUAGAA
rnacentral:tRNA from 1 species